AGUACGGAAUCGAUAGAACCACGGUUUUCGAGUAAUUCGAGGUUGUACACAGCCAUAAUGUUUACCAGUCUCCAAUCUAGAAAUAUCCCAUUGCCUCUGCCAUGUAUUAAACAUAUCAGAUAGCGCACAACUCAAUAGCCUCAAGAAUAGCAACUGCCUCACCUGUGAAAAUGGACGCUUGAGGAGGACAUUUAAAUGGAAGAACAAUAUUGUACCGUGGAAUCCACACCGCUGCUCCCACACAUCUUGCAGGAUCCACCUUAGAAGCGUCAGUAAAGCUGGUAAGUAAUCUUGCCAUUUAUCUAAAAAUUUAUUAAAUUUGUUGUUUGCUCCUGGAUCAUCUUUGAAAAUUCCUAUAUCUAAUAUGACCUUUGGUGAGUAUAUUAGGGUCUCAAACGCCACUUCAAAUAAAGGGUUAGCACCAGAUUGAUAUAAACUGGGGUGGAUAUUAAUUAAUUUUGAAAAAGAAAUUACUAUUCUGGGAAAAGCUUUAUAUGUCCAAUAUCUGCUUUCAGUGACCUCCAGUGCCAGCGCCUGCAAGCGUGGAAGCAGCAAGUGGUUGUUGUAAGAGCUGGCUUUGAUCAAGAACCUGUCGGCUAGGUAUUGUCUGCGUAGAGACAACGGCGGUUCAACACCUUCCACCUGCAUGCCAUUUUUGGGAGAGGGAAGCAUAGCACCUAGUAUGAUCCUUAAACAUUUAGCCUGUAUAAGAUCUAAUUUAUCUAGGCCAUCCUUAUUACAGGGUUCCAUUAAAAAUGACCCAUAGUCUAUAUGGCUACGUAUGAUGGCAUUGUAUAGUAGCUUCUGGCAAUAAGGAUGGGAGCCCCACCAGACACCUGACAAUGCUCGAAGAAUAUUAAUAUUUUUCUCACAUUUACCCAGUACAUAUUUGUGGUGUGUGGUGCCAGACAUUUUAUGAUCUAAAAUAACACCUAGAAAUUUAACUGACUCUUUAUUUGGAAUCAUCACACCACCAUAACAGACAUCUGCAUCAGGCAUGGUCCUUCUGCGACUGAAAGUCACUACACAGCUUUUUGUUGGCGAUAGGGUCAAACCAUGUUCAUCAAGCCAAUCCUUGAGGUAACCCAAAGCUGUGUUCAGACUAGCAGUGGCUUUGUCCAUUGACUUUGUUGAUGUGUAUA